rnacentral:tRNA from 1 species
GUGGUUGUGGCUCCGUGGUAAAGUGCUUGCCUAGCAUGUGUGAGGCACUGGGUUCUAUCCUCAGCACCACA